UCCCAAAAGUUGUUUAAUAAUAACAGGCCUUUUCUCUUCUAUCUCCCUAAUCACAGUUGCCUCUGUUGACUGGAAAAAAAUGCCUCCCUCUCUUCUCUUACUUUCUCCAUCUCUUUCACUCUCAUCCCUUUCUACAGGAGAUCUAAAAGGGAUUCCUUUGAGUUACUUUUCGCACAUUCUACGACUCUGAAAAAUUCUUUUGAUAAACUCAUGACAAUUUGGCGAAUAACGAGAUUGAUGCAGGUUUGGUAUUAUUUUCCUUUUCAUCGUUCAUUCGAUAGGUAUUCUUGUAUUCAUCUUUUCUAUUUUAUCUAUAUUUGUAUCAAAAUUUCCAACUUUGAUUAGAGCUAUUAAUAUGGGCUAGACCAGCCUAGCCCACGUGAGCUUUAGCAAUUGACGGGUUGGGCUGGGCUAGCCCACCAUUUUGAUGGGCCUUAUAAUGGUCAACCCACCCCAGCCCUAUGAGGGUUGCGGGCCCCAUGGGCCGGCCCAUCAUUUUUAAAAUAUAAUUUUAUAUUUUUUCUUUAAGAUCUAAUUUUAAAAAAAUCUUAUUGAAAAAAUUCACAAAAUUUAAUACUUAUACUAUUCCAAUAUCACAAUAAACACUAAAAAAAGUAAAAGACAAGACUAUAUUUCAUCCACUAAAAGUCAAAGCUCAAAAUAAACUAUUCAAGAGAACAUCCAUGACGUGUAUAGGAUAUCCAACACAUCAUCUUCAUCAAAUACAUUUGAAUCCUCGUGUGAGAUAGUUGUCUUAACAUCUUCACUUUCAUCUACACUACAUCUACAAUUAGUAUGCAAUAUUAAUUAGUUAAAUAUUAAAAAUAAUUAAAUUUUUAAAACUAAUUAACGUUUUAAGACUUUGAUCUUUUAAUAUGAUGAGCUUAAUAAACUUCAAGCUUGGGAUAUUUUUCUUGAUAUUUUUUGUGUCAUAUAAUUUUUAUAUUUUAUAUAUUUUAAAUACAUAUUUUUAUUAGGCCCACGGGCCGACCCAGCUCAGUCUCAGUCAAGCCUCACGGGUCACGGACUUACUCGGGUCGGGCUUAAAAGCCUCGUUUUUAAAUGGGCUCCAAAAAUUCAAGCCCAGUCCUGCUAAAUCACGGGCUGGGCUUGGCUGGCCCAACGGACCAAGCCCAUAUUGACGGCUCUAACUUUGAUCUUUUUUUACUGGCCAAAAUAAAUCAUCUCUUCUUUAUGGUUUUGAGUCCGCCGUAAAAUAACAGCAUAGGCAGUUGAUGGACUAACCAUUGACCGAAUCCAGAAGAUAUUUUCGAGAGGACUAUUUGUUGUUUCUCAACACCUGCAAUAAACUUCUUUUAGAGGAUGAUGUAUCAUCCAAAGUGAAACAACAAAAGUCACAAAGGUCUUUUCAAAACCCAUAAGGAAUAGAGUGCUUUGCUUUCGUGAUGCAAAUACGAAGUCUACAUUAGGCUAGAAGGACAGAUCAUGUUAUGGCAGGGUGAACAAUCAUAUACGAAGACAGGGUAAUGUGAUGCGACUAUUGGAGGGUUGAAAUAACUGGGUAAGAAGGUUAAAGGAAAGGCCAUUCACUCUUUUCUGUGCCUUCAGUUAAUGUCUUUUCCAGUUGUUUCAUUUAAAAUUUAUCCUACCACACCUACUUCGAAACUCAUUUAUACAUGUGAUUUGUUUACGCUAGAGAAGUAUUUACAAUGUUUGUAGGAAUACAUGAGAAUUAGACGAUAUAAACAUAUUUUAUUUUUGUGAAUGUAAUGCAUAUAGAUGCAUUAAUUUAAAUGAUAUUUGUUGUUUUAACA